rnacentral:rRNA from 1 species
GAUGAACGCUGGCGGCGUGCCUAAUACAUGCAAGUCGAGCGAACGGACGAGAAGCUUGCUUCUCUGAUGUUAGCGGCGGACGGGUGAGUAACACGUGGAUAACCUACCUAUAAGACUGGGAUAACUUCGGGAAACCGUAGCUAAUACCGGAUAAUAUUUUGAACCGCAUGGUUCAAAAGUGAAAGACGGUCUUGCUGUCACUUAUAGAUGGAUCCGCGCUGCAUUAGCUAGUUGGUAAGGUAACGGCUUACCAAGGCAACGAUGCAUAGUCGACCUGAGAGGGUGAUCGGCCACACUGGAACUGAGACACGGUCCAGACUCCUACGGGAGGCAGCAGUAGGGAAUCUUCCGCAAUGGGCGAAAGCCUGACGGAGCAACGCCGCGUGAGUGAUGAAGGUCUUCGGAUCGUAAAACUCUGUUAUUAGGGAAGAACAUAUGUGUAAGUAACUGUGCACAUCUUGACGGUACCUAAUCAGAAAGCCACGGCUAACUACGUGCCAGCAGCCGCGGUAAUACGUAGGUGGCAAGCGUUAUCCGGAAUUAUUGGGCGUAAAGCGCGCGUAGGCGGUUUUUUAAGUCUGAUGUGAAAGCCCACGGCUCAACCGUGGAGGGUCAUUGGAAACUGGAAAACUUGAGUGCAGAAGAGGAAAGUGGAAUUCCAUGUGUAGCGGUGAAAUGCGCAGAGAUAUGGAGGAACACCAGUGGCGAAGGCGACUUUCUGGUCUGUAACUGACGCUGAUGUGCGAAAGCGUGGGGAUCAAACAGGACUAGAUACCCUGGUAGUCCACGCCGUAAACGAUGAGUGCUAAGUGUUAGGGGGUUUCCGCCCCUUAGUGCUGCAGCUAACGCAUUAAGCACUCCGCCUGGGGAGUACGACCGCAAGGUUGAAACUCAAAGGAAUUGACGGGGACCCGCACAAGCGGUGGAGCAUGUGGUUUAAUUCGAAGCAACGCGAAGAACCUUACCAAAUCUUGACAUCCUUUGACAACUCUAGAGAUAGAGCCUUCCCCUUCGGGGGACAAAGUGACAGGUGGUGCAUGGUUGUCGUCAGCUCGUGUCGUGAGAUGUUGGGUUAAGUCCCGCAACGAGCGCAACCCUUAAGCUUAGUUGCCAUCAUUAAGUUGGGCACUCUAAGUUGACUGCCGGUGACAAACCGGAGGAAGGUGGGGAUGACGUCAAAUCAUCAUGCCCCUUAUGAUUUGGGCUACACACGUGCUACAAUGGACAAUACAAAGGGCAGCGAAACCGCGAGGUCAAGCAAAUCCCAUAAAGUUGUUCUCAGUUCGGAUUGUAGUCUGCAACUCGACUACAUGAAGCUGGAAUCGCUAGUAAUCGUAGAUCAGCAUGCUACGGUGAAUACGUUCCCGGGUCU